GCUUUCUUAAAACCGCACUAAAAAGGUAAAAAGAGCAAAUGCCACCUUAAAGGCGUGUCUUAUUAUUAAG
rfam:Coprobacillus sp. CAG:605 genomic scaffold, scf48